UCCAGUCCAGAACUGUCAGUAUGUUUCACCAGCGUUUUGCUUCUCCAGUCCAGAACUGUCAGUAUGUUUCACCAGCGUUAUGCUUCUCCAGUCCAGAACUGUCAGUAUGUUUGACAUGUAAAGUGCACUUGCACAUCCGCCCUGAUGGAUUUAAAGGGAGUGGAUUGGUAUAAGAGUAAUGCUGGAGAUGUCUUUACAGACAAUGCUUUUAAACUUGUGUUGAAGUGUGCACUUCAGGGAGAAGGGUAGAGAAUUGGGACUCCUCCUGUAUCUUCUGACUUGACUUGUUGUUUAUCAGGGCGUCUGACCUCCAGAACUCUGUGGCCACCCGGUGUCUGCAGCUCCACGGAGGCUGGGGCUACAUGUGGGAGAUCCCCAUCGCCAAGGCGUUUGUGGAUUCCCGURUCCAGCCCAUCUAUGGAGGCACCAAUGAGAUCAUGAAGGAGCUGAUCGCCCGCAGUAUCGUCAGCCAGAAGUGAGGGAGACGUCCCAGUGACAUCACCAUGGAGGAGAGCUGGGAAGUGGUUAACAUAAGUCUCUUAACACCAACAGCAGUUUGACUGGGUUAGCUACUGAGCUGGUUGUCCGUGCCUUUUGAAGUGAUUGUCAUGUUCACUGAAGGUAGGCCAGUGGUAUUUCUGGGGUGAAUCUGAUCUUCCAUUUAAGUCAAAUGUUCACUUAGUCUCCCAUAGACGUCAGUGCAUGACUGAGA